GACGAACGCUGGCGGCGUGCUUAACACAUGCAAGUCGAACGGAAAGGCCCGCCACCUUGGUGGUGGGUACUCGAGUGGCGAACGGGUGAGUAACACGUGGGUGAUCUGCCCCGCACUGUGGGAUAAGCCUGGGAAACUGGGUCUAAUACCACAUACGACCAUGGCGUAGGGGUCAUGGUGGAAAGCUUUAUUGCGGUGUGGGAUGAGCCCGCGGCCUAUCAGCUUGUUGGUGGGGUAAUGGCCUACCAAGGCGGCGACGGGUAGCCGGCCUGAGAGGGUGGACGGCCACAUUGGGACUGAGACACGGCCCAGACUCCUACGGGAGGCAGCAGUGGGGAAUAUUGCACAAUGGGCGCAAGCCUGAUGCAGCGACGCCGCGUGGGGGACGGAAGGCCUUCGGGUUGUAAACUCCUUUCGCCCGGGACGAAGCCCACCUUGGUGG
rnacentral:rRNA from 1 species